CCUACGGGUGGCAGCAGUGAGGAAUAUUGGUCAAUGGACGCGAGUCUGAACCAGCCAUGCCGCGUGAAGGAUGACGGCUCUAUGGGUUGUAAACUUCUUUUAUACGGGGGUAAACUCAGAUACGCGUGUCUUUCUGAAAGUAUCAUACGAAUAAGGAUCGGCUAACUCCGUGCCAGCAGCCGCGGUAAUACGGAGGAUUCGAGCGUUAUCCGGAUUUAUUGGGUUUAAAGGGUGCGUAGGCGGUGUGAUAAGUUAGUUGUGAAAGUCCGAGGCUCAACCUCGGAAUUGCAGCUGAUACUGUCAGGCUAGAGAGUAGUAGCGGUAGGCGGAAUUCAUGGUGUAGCGGUGAAAUGCUUAGAGAUCAUAAAGAACACCGAUUGCGAAGGCAGCUUACCAAGCUACUUCUGACGUUGAGGCUCGAAAGUGUGGGGAGCAAACAGGAUUAGAUACCCGAGUAGUC
rnacentral:rRNA from 1 species